rnacentral:rRNA from 1 species
AAUAGAUACCCCGGUAGUCCACGCCGUAAACGAUGAGUGCUAAGUGUUAGAGGGUUUCCGCCCUUUAGUGCUGAAGUUAACGCAUUAAGCACUCCGCCUGGGGAGUACGGCCGCAAGGCUGAAACUCAAAGGAAUUGACGGGGGCCCGCACAAGCGGUGGAGCAUGUGGUUUAAUUCGAAGCAACGCGAAGAACCUUACCAGGUCUUGACAUCCUCUGACAACCCUAGAGAUAGGGCUUCUCCUUCGGGAGCAGAGUGACAGGUGGUGCAUGGUUGUCGUCAGCUCGUGUCGUGAGAUGUUGGGUUAAGUCCCGCAACGAGCGCAACCCUUGAUCUUAGUUGCCAUCAUUAAGUUGGGCACUCUAAGGUGACUGCCGGUGACAAACCGGAGGAAGGUGGGGAUGACGUCAAAUCAUCAUGCCCCUUAUGACCUGGGCUACACACGUGCUACAAUGGACGGUACAAAGAGCUGCAAGACCGCGAGGUGGAGCUAAUCUCAUAAAACCGUUCUCAGUUCGGAUUGUAGGCUGCUAACG